rnacentral:misc_RNA from 1 species
GGAAAAUCAACAAUUGGUGAGAUGCUUGGAAGAGCUGUUCAUGGCCGCUUUCUUGAUGCGGAUGAUUAUCACUCAGAGUCCAACAAAGAGAAGAUGAAGAAUGGGAUACCUCUUUCAGAGGAAGAUCGUGUUCCAUGGCUUGAAGCAUUGCGGAAUACACUGAGAAGAGGAUUAGUUGACAAUGAAACACUGGUUCUUGCUUGCUCAGCUCUGCAAAAGCGGUACAG